CCUACGGGAGGCAGCAGUGAGGAAUAUUGGUCAAUGGGAGCGAUCCUGAACCAGCCAAGUAGCGUGCAGGAUGACUGCCCUACGAGUUGUAAACUGCUUUUGUAAAGGAGUAAAGUGCUCCACGUGUGCCUUUUUGUAUGUACUUUAUGAAUAAGGAUCGGCUAACUCCGUGCCAGCAGCCGCGGUAAUACGGAGGAUCCGAGCGUUAUCCGGAUUUAUUGGGUUUAAAGGGAGCGUAGAUGGGUUUUUAAGUCAGUGGUGAAAGUUUGCUGCUCAACCGUAAAAUUGCAAUUGAUACUGGAAGCCUUGAGUACAGAUGAGGCAGGCGGAAUGUGUGGUGUAGCGGUGAAAUGCUUAGAUAUUACGAAGAACACCGAUUGCGAAGGCAGCCUACUAAACCGGCACUGACACUGAUGCUCGAAAGCGUGGGGAUCAAACAGGAUUAGAUACCCUGGUAGUC
rnacentral:rRNA from 1 species